rnacentral:rRNA from 1 species
GCCUAUGGCUAUACCACCCUGAACGCACCCCUAUCUCCUCUGAUCUUGGACGCUAAGCAGGGUCUGGCCUGGUUAGUAUUUGGAUGCGAGGUUGAAAAGGAGACUCUAUGAAAUAUCGUCGCGCCAUCUGGU